GCGGGAUCUCCACGCGGUGCUGAUGGUUGUUGGGUCGGGUCUAUUAAUCGGCUUAAUUUUGGCCAAUCUAAUCAUGUAUAUCGCUAUCGCUUCUGCCACUCUACCUCUUCUCGGGUCAUGUUGUUCGCACAUAAGUUUUGACUAGUUCCACUUGAUAGUUAUAUCCGAUGACAAGGCCUUUUGCGCUAGUGUCGUCGUCGAUGCUCCUUUUUCGAUAUCUUUCUUGUGCUCAGUCAUACAUUUGUUCAGCGACCUUGAGGUGUGUCCGAUGUGUCUACACUCCUGAUCGGGCAUGUUGUCUAUCAGUGGAGUUUCGUGUGUGCCUGGUCUUGAGGUGCUGGGUCUUCUAUCUUUGUCAUUUCUCGGUGGGUUGAGGGCCGUGUUCUUCCUGUUGAGUGCUGCUCGCGAGUCGGUGCAUUUUUCAAUUCUUUGUCUGUGCCUCAAGGUGGGUGGGUUGGUUUCGAUAUUAACGAG
rnacentral:lncRNA from 1 species